rnacentral:sRNA from 1 species
AGGCACCUCAGUGGAAGGUUUUUCCAAUAGUUUAGUGGCUCUCUAGCACUGAACACUUCGUACCUUCGCCCCCCAUUCAAUCUAGCAGGGCAUGUCUCUCCGCUACUCCUCCAACAAUUUUUCCUCGGUCGCACCCGGUCCCAAUCAGUUCAUCGUGCUCGGAACCACAAUGCGCUGGCCUGGAGAGACAGAAGCCCUGAAGAGUACAAUGCCUUCUUCGACUGCGUGAAUGACAAUAAGCCACAUCCGAAGAUCAGGAACGAUGAAUUUAAAGAUCUUGUCGAAACUAUUGGUAAAAAAGGGAUGGGGUACUGCUCAACCUACUCGGGAGGGAAAAAGGGACUUGAGUAUACCUGGGUGGACUGUAUUGCAUGACGCAGAAAGGUGUCCUUCUUCGUUAGCCCGCUUCCCAAAAACCGGGUCAGUCCAUUAUUACGAUUUUUUUGGACGUGGUUUUAUGGGCAUGGCAUGGCUCCCAUCUUUCAUUGCGCUCCCUGUUGGUUUUGCCGAUGUGAUGCUUGGAAAUGAAUGGGACCCCAUCACCGUUCCUGCGUUGAGGUAUUCAAGAUGUACAAACAGUCGAAAAACCACUACCCUGACUCCUCCGGUCCCAUCCAAUCCUGAUCAAUGGCAGUUUUCCUGCCACACCCUAGCUCACGUUUUCUCCCCGCAUCAAAAAUAAUCAAUCAUGUAAUGUACAAGGGACUUCUGGC